rnacentral:lncRNA from 1 species
GAGGUUUACUCAAAAUGAAAUUAUAGCUCUGGUAUUGUUGAAGAUAAAGUGAAGAAGAAGAAGUGCUCAAAUGGCAGAGUUUUGAAGGAGAAGAAUGUCUGUGUGGAGAAAGAACAUCGACUGAGAUGUUACUCAAGCCUCAAGGAGUUGCUCUUGGCAUGUCCUCUAUUAAAGUUGAAAAGCAGUGGCAGAUGGACUCCAAAUGAUGAAAGGCAAAGUAAACGAAAUGUUAGCAGAAUUGACGCUUUCAGUUCUCUCUUCAUCUACACGGGCCCUCAAUUUUUUAGGUAAUUAAAUAGUUUUGAAUCAAGAACACGAUCAGGGGUGCGUCGUUUCGAUUGUUAAUCGAAUCAAGAGAAGAAGAACCCUAACUGAUUAUUCAUAGAUUGCAAAUUUUGAAGACGCAAAAGAACCAGGUUGCGAUAUGAAUUUGCAAGAGGAUGGGAUUAUGGGGUUUCGAAGAAGGAAACGGAGAGGAAAUGAGGAUGACUUCUGGUUGUGGUAAACUAAACUAGAAUUUACUCUUGUUAUGCUACUACUUACUAGUACAUAUGUAGAUGAAACUUUUGUUAUAUUAUGAAAUUGAUUUUUUUGUCAUCAAUGCACUGCAGUGUCUACAUGUUUGCGACAGUUAUUAAAGAAUUGCUCAU